GCCGGGCGUGGUGGUGCAUGCCUAUAAUCCUAGCAGCUUGGGAGGCUGAGAUAGGAGGAUCCCGAGUUCAAAGCCAGCCUCAGCAAUGGCGAGGAGCUAAGCAACUCAGUUGGACCCUGUCUCUA
rnacentral:sRNA from 1 species